UACAGAGGGGGCAAGCGUUGUUCGGAAUUACUGGGCGUAAAGGGCGCGUAGGCGGCCUGUUAAGUCGAACGUGAAAUCCCCGGGCUCAACCCGGGAACUGCGUCCGAUACUGGCAGGCUUGAAUCCGGGAGAGGGAUGCGGAAUUCCAGGUGUAGCGGUGAAAUGCGUAGAUAUCUGGAGGAACACCGGUGGCGGAGGCGGCAGCCUGGACCGGCAUUGACGCUGAGGCGCGAAAGCCAGGGGAGCAAACGGG
rnacentral:rRNA from 1 species